GACGAACGCUGGCGGCGUGCUUAACACAUGCAAGUCGAACGGAAAGGCCCUGCUUUUGUGGGUUGCUCGAGUGGCGAACGGGUGAGUAACACGUGAGUAACCUGCCCUUGACUUUGGGAUAACUUCAGGAAACUGGGGCUAAUACCGGAUAGGAGCUCCUGCUGCAUGGUGGUGGUUGGAAAGUUUCGGCGGUUGGGGAUGGACUCGCGGCUUAUCAGCUUGUUGGUGGGGUAGUGGCUUACCAAGGCUUUGACGGGUAGCCGGCCUGAGAGGGUGACCGGGCACAUUGGGACUGAGAGACGGCCCAGACUGCUACGGGAGGCAGCAGUGGGGAAUAUUGCGCAAUGGGCGGAAGCCUGAUGCAGCAACGCCGCGUGCGGGAUGACGGUCUUCGGGUGGUAAACCGCUUUCGCCUGUGACGAAGCGUGAGUGACGGUAAUGGGUAAAGAAGCACCGGCUAACUACGUG
rnacentral:rRNA from 1 species